UCUGCUCACAAAAGCGUGCAAAUCCAUCGGUAAUUACAGUUUCUGGGUUUGUCUUCUGCUAUGCCUGCGUCUUCAAGUAUGUUUCUCAGUAUAAGCGAUGCCCGAUCACAUUGAUUCGUACUACUGUCGACCAGAUAAGGAGGCUCUUUCACGACGUGUAGAAAACCCAGUUGGAUACAUCAAAGGAGAAAUAAUUCAUUAGUUGAGAUGCUGGGAUGCUAGGGUAGCGAUGACUGGCAAAACAAAUAAAUAUUGUAUCGUGGGGAAACCGUAGUAGUCUGGGAAAUGAAAGGAAGAAUGUUGUAUCUUGAUUAUUUGUUGUAUUACUGUAUCCUACACCCUUUGCCAAGAAAGAAGAAUUCCUCUUUUUUCGGUUUUUCGCCA